AGAAGAUAGAACAGAAAGGAGGGGUUUGUGUAGGUGGAGAUCAACCAAUAUCUGUCCAUAUAGAGGAAAAGAAUGGAUGUUUGUGUUGGAGUUGACACAUGCUUCAUCUGUAGCUUUCACAGGGUGACUCUAAUUCAAGGAAAGAGAAAAGUUAAGGCUUAAUCAGAUGUGCAAUUAACCCCUGGCAUCUGGCUAGGUUAGGUUAGGGUUAAAUCAAUUUAAAUAGUCCACAAAGGUGGAUUAGGGCGCACUGGCAUACAGGGGUUAAUAUUGCAGUUUGUCUGAUAAAUUUCCUGCUUAUUUAUGUUAAGAUGUUCCUUAGCUUGUUGUCCGGUGAGUAAACCUUUGUAUUUUUUUCUCUUUCUUUUUAUCUAGGAUGGAGCAGUGUGAUGACGGCAGAGAGGGAGAAGAAGGAGGAGGAGGAGGAGGAGGUGGUCCACCCCUGGAUUGAGGCCUUCUGGCUCCGGCUGCCACCUAUGCAGAACAAAUGACAAUAAGAGGACAAGUGCCAACAUCAGGUAAGUAUAAAGUUCAUGCAAGUGAAGAAUAAAUUAGAGUAGAUUAUUAAGGGGGGGAAAAAA
rnacentral:lncRNA from 1 species